GUGCCAGCAGCCGCGGUAAUACGUAGGUGGCAAGCGUUAUCCGGAAUUAUUGGGCGUAAAGCGCGCGUAGGCGGUUUUUUAAGUCUGAUGUGAAAGCCCACGGCUCAACCGUGGAGGGUCAUUGGAAACUGGAAAACUUGAGUGCAGAAGAGGAAAGUGGAAUUCCAUGUGUAGCGGUGAAAUGCGCAGAGAUAUGGAGGAACACCAGUGGCGAAGGCGACUUUCCGNGUCUGUAACUGACGCUGAUGUGCGAAAGCGUGGGGAUCAAACAGGAUUAGAU
rnacentral:rRNA from 1 species